rnacentral:rRNA from 1 species
UACGAAGGGUGCAAACGUUGCUCGGAAUCAUUGGGCGUAAAGCGCACGUAGGCGGCUAUCUAAGUCGGAUGUGAAAUCCCUCGGCUCAACCGAGGACGUGCAUCCGAAACUGGAUUGCUCGAGUAUGGAAGAGGGUCGCGGAAUUCUCGGUGUAGAGGUGAAAUUCGUAGAUAUCGGGAGGAACACCAGUGGCGAAGGCGGCGACCUGGGCCAAUACUGACGCUGAGGUGCGAAAGCGUGGGGAGCGAACAGG